GGAUGCGAUCAUACCAGCACUAAUGCACCGGAUCCCAUCAGAACUCCGAAGUUAAGCGUGCUUGGGCGUACUAGGAUGGGUGAGAAGUGUUGCAUCCC
rnacentral:rRNA from 1 species